UUUAUGCUCAGUAUCUAUCCCUGCCUUAUUUAAAAAAUUAAGACCAUUCUCUCUCGUCUGGAUAUUGGGAAAGGAGCUUGACAGAGAAGGCCAAGAAGAUGUCUCAAGAAUUCUUUCUUGGCCAUCGGCUCGGGACCACACCAACCUCACCAAUAU